rnacentral:rRNA from 1 species
CUCUGUGACUCCUACGGGAGGCAGCAGUGGGGAAUAUUGCACAAUGGGCGCAAGCCUGAUGCAGCAACGCCGUGUGAGUGAAGAAGGUUUUCGGAUCGUAAAACUCUGUCCUAAGGGAAGAAACAAAUGACGGUACCUUAGGAGGAAGCCCCGGCUAACUACGUGCCAGCAGCCGCGGUAAUACGUAGGGGGCAAGCGUUAUCCGGAAUCACUGGGCGUAAAGGGUGCGUAGGCGGCUUAGCAAGCCAGGGGUGAAAGGCAUUGGCUCAACCAAUGUAAGCCUUUGGAACUGUUAAGCUUGAGUGCAGGAGAGGAAAGUGGAAUUCCUAGUGUAGAGGUGAAAUUCGUAGAUAUUAGGAGGAACACCAGUGGCGAAGGCGACUUUCUGGACUGUAACUGACGCUGAGGCACGAAAGCGUGGGGAGCGAACAGGAUUAGAUACCCUGUAG